rnacentral:rRNA from 1 species
GUAGGGGGCAAGCGUUGUCCGGAAUCAUUGGGCGUAAAGAGCGUGUAGGCGGCUUCGUCAGUCCGUUGUGAAAGUCCAGGGCUCAACCCUGGAAUGCCGAUGGAUACUGCGGAGCUAGAGUACGGAAGAGGCGAGUGGAAUUCCUGGUGUAGCGGUGAAGUGCGCAGAUAUCAGGAGGAACACCUAUGGCGAAGGCAGCUCGCUGGGACGUUACUGACGCUGAGACGCGAAAGCGUGGGGAGCAAACAGGAUUAGAUACCCUGGUAGUCCACGCCGUAACGAUGGGACUAGUGUGGGGGGUGUCGACUCCCUCCGUGCCGAAGCUAACGCAUUAAGUGCCCCGCCUGGGGAGUACGGCCGCAAGGCUA